ensembl:miRNA bta-mir-2284aa-1 bta-mir-2284aa-1
GGUUUCUGGCAAAAAAGUUUGUUUGGGUUUUCCAUGUUAACCAAAAACCCAAAUGAACUUUUCAGCCAACUCAAUAAUUUGGGGACUU